AUGGUUACGUUGAUCCUACAAAUAACGCUUACAUUCAUUCGUUAGCUCAAUCAUGUAAAAGAUUAAAUGGAAAACCAGUCGUAAAGAAGGACCCUGUUACCUCGGAUAUAAUACUUGAACUCUGUAAAAUUAAUGAAUUUGAAAAUGACUUGCUUAUUGUUAGAGAUUUGACUAUGAUUUUGAUAGGCUAUGCUGGAUUUUUGCGCUAUGACGAAUUAAGUUCUAUUACAUGUAGGGAUGUUAAGAUUUUUGAUGAUCAUAUUUCUAUUUUUCUGCCCCGGUCCAAGACCGAUCAAUACAGACAAGGUAACGAGAUACUUAUUUCUAGUGGUAACACUUUGGCAUGUCCAGUUGUUAUGUAUAAGCGAUACAUUUCACUUGCUAGUUUGGAUGUUAAUUCGGAUUAUUUUAUAUUUCGACCGAUUUUUAGGUCUAAGGGGUUAGCUAAGUUGAUAUAUAAGAAUAAGAAGUUAAGCUAUACAGCCACAAAAGAGAAUAUUGUACGUAGA
rnacentral:lncRNA from 1 species